rnacentral:rRNA from 1 species
AGUGAACGCUGGCGGUAGGCCUAACACAUGCAAGUCGAACGGCAGCACAGGAGAGCUUGCUCUCUGGGUGGCGAGUGGCGGACGGGUGAGGAAUACAUCGGAAUCUACUCUGUCGUGGGGGAUAACGUAGGGAAACUUACGCUAAUACCGCAUACGACCUCCGGGUGAAAGCAGGGGACCUUCGGGCCUUGCGCGAUUGAAUGAGCCGAUGUCGGAUUAGCUAGUUGGCGGGGUAAAGGCCCACCAAGGCGACGAUCCGUAGCUGGUCUGAGGGGAUGAUCAGCCACACUGGAACUGAGACACGGUCCAGACUCCUACGGGAGGCAGCAGUGGGGAAGAUUGGACAAUGGGCGCAAGCCUGAUCCAGCCAUACCGCGUGGGUGAAGAAGGCCUUCGGGUUGUAAAGCCCUUUUGUUGGGAAGGAAAUCCAGCUGGCUAAUACCCGGUUGGGAUGACGGUACCCAAAGAAUAAGCACCGGCUAACUUCGUGCCAGCCGCCGCCGUAA